GCAGCGGGUACGGGCAGACUAGAGUGCGGUAGGGGAGAAUGGAAUUCCUGGUGUAGCGGUGGAAUGCGCAGAUAUCAGGAGGAACACCGAUGGCGAAGGCAGUUCUCUGGGCCGUAACUGACGCUGAGGAGCGAAAGGUGGGGAGCGAACAGGAUUAGAUACCCUGGUAGUCCACGCCGUAAACGUUGGGCGCUAGAUGUGGGGCCGUGUCGCGGCUAACGAUUAAGCGCCCCGCCUGGGGAGUACGGCCGCAAGGCUAAAACUCAAAGGAAUUGACGGGGGCCCGCACAAGCGGCGGAGCAUGCGGAUUAAUUCGAUGCAACGCGAAGAACCUUACCAAGGCUUGACAUACAGGUGGUGCAUGGUUGUCGUCAGCUCGUGUCGUGAGAUGUUGGGUUAAGUCCCGCAACGAGCGCAACCCUCGUUCUAUGUUGCAACUCAUAGGAGACUGCCGGGGUCAACUCGGAGGAAGGUGGGGAUGACGUCAAAUCAUCAUGCCCCUUAUGUCUUGGGCUUCACGCAUGCUACAAUGGCCGGUACAAAGGGCUGCAAUACCGUAAGGUGGAGCGAAUCCCAAAAAGCCGGUCUCAGUUCGGAUUGAGGUCUGCAACUCGACCUCAUGAAGUCGGAGUCGCUAGUAAUCGCAGAUCAGCACGCUGCGGUGAAUACG
rnacentral:rRNA from 1 species